rnacentral:rRNA from 1 species
GACGUAGGGUGCAAGCGUUGUCCGGAAUUAUUGGGCGUAAAGAGCUCGUAGGCGGUUUGUCGCGUCUGCUGUGAAAGCCCGGGGCUCAACUCCGGUUCUGCAGUGGGUACGGGCAGACUAGAGUGAUGUAGGGGAGACUGGAAUUCCUGGUGUAGCGGUGAAAUGCGCAGAUAUCAGGAGGAACACCGAUGGCGAAGGCAGGUCUCUGGGCAUUAACUGACGCUGAGGAGCGAAAGCAUGGGGAGCGAACAGG